GGUGUAAAUGGCAGCACGUCUGUUUUUGCCAAAGAGGAGGUGCGGGUUCGAUCCCCGUC
rnacentral:tRNA from 1 species